GAUGAACGCUGGCGGCGUGCCUAAUACAUGCAAGUCGAGCGAACAGACGAGGAGCUUGCUCCUCUGACGUUAGCGGCGGACGGGUGAGUAACACGUGGAUAACCUACCUAUAAGACUGGGAUAACUUCGGGAAACCGGAGCUAAUACCGGAUAAUAUAUUGAACCGCAUGGUUCAAUAGUGAAAGACGGUUUUGCUGUCACUUAUAGAUGGAUCCGCGCCGCAUUAGCUAGUUGGUAAGGUAACGGCUUACCAAGGCGACGAUGCGUAGCAGACCUGAGAGGGUGAUCGGCCACACUGGAACUGAGACACGGUCCAGGUUCCUACGGGAGGCAGCAGUAGGGAAUCUUCCGCAAUGGGCGAAAGCCUGACGGAGCAACGCCGCGUGAGUGACGAAGGUUUUCGGAUCUUAAGACUCUGUGAUUAGGGAAGAACAAAUGUGUAAGUAACUAUGCACGUCUUGACGGUACCUAAUCAGAAAGCCACGGCUAACUACGUG
rnacentral:rRNA from 1 species